GUAGGUGGCAAGCGUUGUCCGGAAUUAUUGGGCGUAAAGCGCGCGCAGGCGGUCCUUUAAGUCUGAUGUGAAAGCCCACGGGCUCAACCGUGGAGGGUCAUUGGAAACUGGGGGACUUGAGUACAGAAGAGGAAAGCGGAAUUCCAAGUGUAGCGGUGAAAUGCGUAGAGAUUUGGAGGAACACCAGUGGCGAAGGCGGCUUUCUGGUCUGUAACUGACGCUGAGGCGCGAAAGCGUGGGGAGCAAACAGGAUUAGAUACCCUGGUAGUCCACGCCGUAAACGAUGAGUGCUAGGUGUUAGGGGGUUUCCGCCCCUUAGUGCUGCAGCUAACGCAUUAAGCACUCCGCCUGGGGAGUACGGCCGCAAAGGCUGA
rnacentral:rRNA from 1 species